rnacentral:lncRNA from 1 species
ACAUAACUGGUCUCAUAUAUAAUUCGAAUAAUAUUUUUGACACUUGUUAAGCUUUAGACAGCAAAAAGAGGUCAGAUAUCGAUUAAAAAAUAACCAUUGUCAAAAUAGUUUUAUAGUUUUGUAGUCGCAGUUAACCAAUAAUUACAAGGAUUUUCGAGUGGAUCAUAAAUCUUAUUGAAUGAAAAAAAGUAUUAUUUGUGUUAUAUUUUCAUUGAUUAUCUGACAAUAAAUUUCUUUGACACUUAAAAAAAAAAGUGAUUAAUUGAUUACACAACCUUGCCCCAUUUCUAAAUGCUGAAUAUGUUUAAAACGGACAUAAGUGAACAUUCAGCUAAUGUAUAUCAGUUAAAGAAAAUACUUUUUUCUGGUUACAGAUAUCACAUAGAAGCACAACACUGAAACAAUUGAAAACUAAUUUUGAUUUACGAUUAACUGUAAUAAAAAAAAAUCCAUAAUUAUAAUUAAAUUAUUACAAAAACGUAAUAGUUUAAAACACAAUUAACAUAAUGGUAAUAAAAGCAUUUCUUUCACUUCUUUGUAUGUUACUUGAAGUUCGCUGACCCGCUUGUAAAGUUAUCUUUUCAACAAAGUUACAUCAUUGUGAGGAAUAAGAAAAAAAAAAAAAAAUUCUCAAAACAUAAAUCAGAAUGGUGAUGAUGUAAUUCGGUGAAUAACUUGUUUAAGGCCUGCGGUGUGCGAGGGAGACUUAUGUUUUCUCAAAUAUAAUAUUUGCAGUAAGAAGUAACUACAAUACCUAAAUACAUGCUCUUUUAACAAUACGUUGUUAUGCCCGAAACUUCAUGUUAUUGGCAAGAAGAGCAAGUCUUUCUGACGUUUCUCGACCUUUCACCUCGAGUUCUUUCAUCCCUCUUCCUCACUCUCGGGUCAGAAAUCAAAGGUCAAUAUCGUGUUGGAUGUUUUACUCAGCCCGAGGCCAUUUCUCGUUAAAAUCUUAUACCAUUUUGAACAUAAAUCUAUCAAAAAGUCAGUUUUGGUGCAACACUAUCAGUUGAUAUUUCAGAAUAGAAAGAAACAUAAAAAUGACACAGUUAUUAAAAUAUGGGUUAUUGUGUUUGUAAAGUGUAUCUUUUCCAUAUUACGAAUUUUUUUUUGUGUUAAAUCAAACUUACA